GGCUACCAUUAAUUCCCCCUAACACAUAAAACCCCAAUUAUAAUCCUAAAAUCCCCUAACCCUAGUUCACUCUAACCUAGCCGCACCACCCCUCUUCUCUCAACCAUCUGCCGCUUCACUACCCAAACCCGCCGGAACCCGCUCCAAUGGUCCCCUCUUUCCUCUCUUUGCCACGUAGCCCUAGCCUAACGAACUUCUGACAAGAAUAUUUCAUCUCUCUCACGCACUCUUCACUCACACACUCUUCACUCACACGGUUCGUUUAAGGCAAGGGAGGACGAAUGGUGAGCGUAGGAUUGAGUUUCGGCUCAAUCUACUCCUUCCAUUUGUCCUCUACUUGUUUUAACAAACGAAUUUGGAGAUUUUUAGAGGAUUUUCUGGUUUUCUUGGAGGAAAAGAAUAGAAGUUUCUAGAGUUCCUAUAAAUAUGGGGAUUAUUUUUCUGGAGUUCGAGGGGAGAAAAGAGAAAACAGUGAGAAAAGAAAAGAGCUAGGUUUCUUUUAGGGAUUGUUCUUCAUUUUUCACCUUCCACCGAUUUUUAACUCUAAAUUCUCAAUAAAAAAUAUGAAAAAAAAAUCUGCUUCAUCAGUUCCGAUUUCGGAUUUGGAUUUCGACUAUAGAGUUUGAUUGAGUCGAGUUUAUUUUGAGCUGUUUGUUGAUUGCUAUUCGAGGUCCGAGUGAUCGAGUUGCCGUUAUGAGGUCCGUUCGUGGCUCUUGGUUCCUGUUGCUGUAGUAUCGUUCAUUUCAAAUUUCGGUUGCUGAAUCCGCUUGUAUUUGCGUCUUUCAACGGAAUACAUUGAAAACGAUCUUGUCAUUCAAGGUUCACAAAAUGAAGGUUCAUCGUCUCUGAUGUUUGCAUAGUAAGCGAAGAGAUGAGAGGCAUACCAUACCUUCUCACAUUUCCCCUUUCUAUUGCAUUAUGGAGUAGGUUAUUUGCAGCAUCGGAAAAUCUGUUGUAUCACAGCUUCACUCAGUUCUAUGUUGAAUACCAGAGUUUGGGUAUCAGCGAGGAAGAGGGAAGGGAAAAUUGUAGCAUUUACCAUGAUUCAGAGUAAGACAAUGUAUUUGGAUGGAAAAGAAUCCAAGAUUAUUGAAGGAUCAAUAGGGUUAUUUCGAAUCUCAAUCAAAUAGCGUAGCACAGGAAGGCUCUCAAUCAAAUAGCGUAGCACGAGACGGCACCAAGCAUAGCGAGUUAGGUAAUACAAUAUUCUGGAAUAUCUUUUAUGAAAAAAGGUAAUAUAUGGUAUAAGAACAAUGGUCUUUCAGGGAUCUUUAACACUUAGAGAUCUACAUCAGAAUCAGACUGCAUUGCUAAAACAGUUUUAUCGGUGCUUUGUUUUCUUUUCCUUUUCAAUUUUGUUACAACUUUUUGCUAGGAGGACCUCUGGUCGUAUAAUUUUCUCUUUCUCCUCUUUAUCAAUAGAAUACUUUUUCAUAAUCCAGGAAAAAAUGAAGAGAUAAAGAAGAAAGAGCACGAAAAGGAAACAAUGCGUACCUUUUCUUCUCUCUCUCUCUCCCUCUCUCUCUCUUAUCAUGAACGCAGAUUUAUUACGUUUCCAAAAUUCUAAAGCCGAUUGUGAAAAUAUAUGUUCAACACUUUGUCGUGAGGUAUCACUAGAAGCUGGUCCUAUAUCACUUAGACUAGGAUGAAAAUAUUUGAUUCAGCUUCGAGCCAGAAACUGCAAAGUCAGUAUUUGGCAAGUCUCUUAGGCUUUUAGAGGAUAACUAUGAGGUAACCCUGUCCACCUAAGACAGAUUAUUGUACAUAGAGGCCAAAUAAAGGUUUGUAACCUUAGGUUGAUAGGUUUCAUCACAUGGUUGUGAAAACAUCUGAUAUUUCUAGCACAACUUCCAUAAAUGCAGGAUGUGACAAUUCCCUAAUGGCGGAAAUUAAAUCUUCCAAGGCCCCAGUCCUUAUUUGACAUGUUUGUAGUUUUUCCUAAUAGCUCACAGGAGCAAACACUUUCCCUUAACAAACCGCCCAACCACAUUAUAGAUUCUACCUCCCCGUGCAUACAUUUCUAAAAAGAGCACAUACAUUUCCAGAAAGACCAAUUGCACUAGCAUUAAGUCGUGAGAUAUACCUUGGAAAAAAGUUAAUAUGGCCCUGCAAGCUGUUGUUUCUGCCACUCCGCUCUUGAAUUUUUCUAUGAGCUCCUCAGACUUCCAAAAUAGUCGUCUCCCUUUUGCGUCCUCGCUUACACAGAAGAUCUUACUUACAACAUUGAGUUCUCUCAGCAAAGAUUCUCUGUCCCAGGUCGGUGCACAGUGUUGGAAGACAUCUUUCACUCAACCUAAAAGCUCAGACGUGCGAUUGCAUGCUCUGCACCUGAAUAGCAAUUCAGAAGAGUCCAGUCCAUUUGAUGGGGAAGAGCCCAUUCCAAUUUGUUUAUCGCGAAUUGCACAGUCUGUGUGAGUCCAAUGAGCACACGAGUCGCAACCAAUCCACCGGCACGUAUUCACUUCAAAAUCAAAUUUGUUGCAGAUUAUACACAUACAUAGGCUGCAGAAACCCUUCCUAUUAGUGCAUAUCUCACAGUAGCAAUCAUCAGCCGGCAACUGACUUUGGCAUGCUAUAUUCCGACAUCUCUUGUACACAAAAACCUCAAUCAGGGAAGUCUGAGAAAUACUGACACUUGGGUGCAGGAACGCCUGAAUUCCAGAGUUAAUAGCGACAAGAAUUUCCAACUGAACUCGAUGAGCUCUAAUCAGUGUCUUGGCAGUUAAAUCAGACCUACUCCGAAUGACCCUCUGCAAAACCAAAAAUUCAUCUUUUUGCUGAGAGCCCCCACCCCCCUCAAGCAUCCUCCGAAGCCUACCUUUUAGCUCUUCUAAAUGCUCGUUGGGGAGCAAAUGCAUUUUCUCAGAAAUUAUAUCCACUCGUUCUCUAGCUAUAUCAAGAAGAUAAAUCUUAGUUGAACCAGAAAGCUGGUGAAUUACAGACUGCUCAUAAUAACCCUUCUCAGCUUUCCCAUUCUCAAGCUUUACAUGAGUCACGGCAUCAGCAGCUGGCCAAGUAUCUCUUGAGCUAGCACUCUCAGUAGGCGAUUCACGAAUUUGAUCAGAGUUCAACCUGGUUUCAUGAUUAUCAGAUGAUGCCCUGACAUCUGAAGAUGCAAGAAACAAGGAUGGAUGUAACCCACUGGGACGUGGAGGCAGCAUAUUUGAUAAAGAUUGAUUAUUGAUAUUAGAAU